ensembl:snRNA U6 U6 spliceosomal RNA
GUGCUUGCUUUGGCAGCACAUAUAUUAAAAUUGGAAUGAUGCAGAGAAGAUUAGCAUGGACUCUGUGCAAGGAUGACACACAAAUUCAUGAAGCGUUCCAUAUUUUU